UGGUCCUUCAGAGAGAGAACCUGGUC
rnacentral:piRNA from 1 species